UACAGAGGGGGCAAGCGUUGUUCGGAAUUACUGGGCGUAAAGGGCGCGUAGGCGGCCUUCUAAGUCAUGCGUGAAAUCCCCGGGCUCAACCCGGGAACUGCGUCUGAUACUGGAAGGCUUGAAUCCGGGAGAGGGAUGUGGAAUUCCAGGUGUAGCGGUGAAAUGCGUAGAUAUCUGGAGGAACACCGGUGGCGAAAGCGACUCACUGGCCCGACACUGACACUGAGGUGCGAAAGCUAGGGUAGCAAACGGG
rnacentral:rRNA from 1 species